GCGAGCGUCGUAUAACGGCAUUACCCGAGCUUCCCAAGCUCGUGACGAGGGUUCGACUCCCUUCGCUCGCUUCA
rnacentral:tRNA from 1 species